rnacentral:rRNA from 1 species
UACGAAGGGGGCGAGCGUUGUUCGGAAUUACUGGGCGUAAAGGGCGCGUAGGCGGCGACUCUAGUCAGAUGUGAAAGUCCUGGGCUUAACCUGGGGACUGCAUUUGAUACUGGGUUGCUUGAAUUCGGGAGAGGAUAGCGGAAUUCCCAGUGUAGAGGUGAAAUUCGUAGAUAUUAGGAAGAACACCGGUGGCGAAGGCGGCUCUCUGGAACGGUACUGACGCUGAGACGCGAAAGCAUGGGGAGCGAACAGG